CCUACGGGAGGCAGCAGUGAGGAAUAUUGGUCAAUGGCCGUAAGGCUGAACCAGCCAAGUCGCGUGAAGGAAGAAGGAUCUAUGGUUUGUAAACUUCUUUUAUAGGGGAAUAAAGGUAUCCACGUGUGGAUAUUUGCAUGUACCCUAUGAAUAAGCAUCGGCUAACUCCGUGCCAGCAGCCGCGGUAAUACGGAGUAUGAGAGCGUUAUCCGGAUUUAUUGGGUUUAAAGGGUGCGUAGGUUGUUUUUUAAGUCAGCGGUGAAAGUUUGUGGCUCAACCAUAAAAUUGCCGUUGAAACUGGAAGACGUGAGUGUGUUUGAGGUAGGCGGAAUGCGUGGUGUAGCGGUGAAAUGCAUAGAUAUCACGCAGAACUCCGAUUGCGAAGGCAGCUUACUAAGCCAUAACUGACACUGAAGCACGAAAGCGUGGGGAUCAAACAGGAUUAGAUACCCGAGUAGUC
rnacentral:rRNA from 1 species